AUUGAACGCUGGCGGCAUGCCUUACACAUGCAAGUCGAACGGCAGCACGGGAGCUUGCUCCUGGUGGCGAGUGGCGAACGGGUGAGUAAUACAUCGGAACGUACCCAGUAGUGGGGGAUAACGCACCGAAAGGUGCGCUAAUACCGCAUACGACCUACGGGUGAAAGCGGGGGACCGUAGGGCCUCGCGCUAUUGGAGCGGCCGAUGUCUGAUUAGCUAGUUGGCGGGGGAAUAGCCCACCAAGGCGACGAUAAGUAGCUGGUCUGAGAGGACGAUCAGCCACACUGGGACUGAGACACGGCCCAGACUCCUACGGGAGGCAGCAGAGGGGAAUUUUGGACAAUGGGGGCAACCCUGAUCCAGCAAUGCCGCGUGUGCGAAGAAGGCCUUCGGGUUGUAAAGCACUUUUGUCAGGGAAGAAAUCUUUCAGGCUAAUACCCCUGGAAGGAUGACGGUACCUGAAGAAUAAGCACCGGCUAACUACGUGCCAGCCGCCGCGGUAA
rnacentral:rRNA from 1 species